rnacentral:rRNA from 1 species
GACGAACUUUGGCGGCGUGCUUAACACAUGCAAGUCGAACGGAAAGGCCCUGCUUUUGUGGGGUGCUCGAGUGGCGAACGGGUGAGUAACACGUGAGUAACCUGCCCUUGACUUUGGGAUAACUUCAGGAAACUGGGGCUAAUACCGGAUAGGAGCUCCUGCUGCAUGGUGGGGGUUGGAAAGUUUCGGCGGUUGGGGAUGGACUCGCGGCUUAUCAGCUUGUUGGUGGGGUAGUGGCUUACCAAGGCUUUGACGGGUAGCCGGCCUGAGAGGGUGACCGGCCACAUUGGGACUGAGAUACGGCCCAGACUCCUACGGGAGGCAGCAGUGGGGAAUAUUGCACAAUGGGCGGAAGCCUGAUGCAGCAACGCCGCGUGCGGGAUGACGGCCUUCGGGUUGUAAACCGCUUUCGCCUGUGACGAAGCGUGAGUGACGGUAAUGGGUAAAGAAGCACCGGCUAACUACGUGCCAGCAGCCGCGGUGAUACGUAGGGUGCGAGCGUUGUCCGGAUUUAUUGGGCGUAAAGGGCUCGUAGGUGGUUGAUCGCGUCGGAAGUGUAAUCUUGGGGCUUAACCCUGAGCGUGCUUUCGAUACGGGUUGACUUGAGGAAGGUAGGGGAGAAUGGAAUUCCUGGUGGAGCGGUGGAAUGCGCAGAUAUCAGGAGGAACACCAGUGGCGAAGGCGGUUCUCUGGGCCUUUCCUGACGCUGAGGAGCGAAAGCGUGGGGAGCGAACAGGCUUAGAUACCCUGGUAGUCCACGCUGUAAACGGUGGGUACUAGGUGUGGGGUCCAUUCCACGGGUUCCGUGCCGUAGCUAACGCUUUAAGUACCCCGCCUGGGGAGUACGGCCGCAAGGCUAAAACUCAAAGGAAUUGACGGGGCCCCGCACAAGCGGCGGAGCAUGCGGAUUAAUUCGAUGCAACGCGUAGAACCUUACCUGGGUUUGACAUGGAUCGGGAGUGCUCAGAGAUGGGUGUGCCUCUUUUGGGGUCGGUUCACAGGUGGUGCAUGCCUGUCGUCAGCUCGUGUCGUGAGAUGUUGGGUUAAGUCCCGCAGCGAGCGCAACCCUUGUUCACUGUUGCCAGCACGUUAUGGUGGGGACUCAGUGGAGACCGCCGGGGUCAACUCGGAGGAAGGUGGGGAUGACGUCAAGUCCUCAUGCCCCUUAUGUCCAGGGCUUCACGCAUGCUACAAUGGCUGGUACAGAGAGUGGCGAGCCUGUGAGGGUGAGCGAAUCUCGGAAAGCCGGUCUCAGUUCGGAUUGGGGUCUGCAACUCGACCUCAUGAAGUCGGAGUCGCUAGUAAUCGCAGAUCAGCAACGCUGCGGUGAAUACGUUCCCGGGGCU